UGGUGUGUCCACACCCACUACGAGCUCUUCCCGGGACUUAGGGACGGAGCGGGGAGGACAGCCUGGAGGGCCCACCUGUGCCUUUGUACGACCUGGGGGAGUGUCAGCUAAGCCCGCUGGACCCGCCGGUCUCCGGCGCCCUCAUGUGGCCCUACGCUCCCCGCGGUGCGAUGGCGGCGCUGGUGACCCCGGCGCAGGUGGUGGUGACCUUUAAGAAUGUGGCUGUGACCAAGAGGAGUGGGGACAACUUGACCUGGACCAGAAGACUCUGUACCAGGAGGUGAUGCUGGAGACCUGUGAGCUACUGUUCUCACUGGGCUACCAAUCCUGAGUGGACCUCCCAACCCAUUGAUGACCUUCGUCAGAACAAGAAAAACUUCCCUGGGUCAGAAGCAGAUGACAUCUGAGUAGACAGCUCAUCGCAAGAGUCGAGACCAGUCCUGUAACCCCAACUUUGUUGAUAGUUUCAGACUGUUUUUCUUUUUGUUAACUGAGGUACCUAUACACUUGACUUUGUCACACUGAGGGUCAAUAAGCCUUUUUACCCCUUCCUCAUGUUUUCUUUAAUCCUGAUAAUCCUAAUAUUGGAAUUAUUCAUCUGUCAUAAAAUCUUUACCUUGAGGAAUGACAAAUUGAAAUUGUAAUGGUGUAAUCAUACUCAGGUGUACAAAAUGGAGUUGAGCAGCCAUUGAGGAUCAGAUCUCAGACACAUCCCGGCAUCACUGAGAAUUUGAACUUUCUUUAAAUUGUACCAAACCCAAGGACACCAUCAGCCAUAUUUAGAACACCCAGAAGCUUCACCCUUUUUGUCUAAAAUUUCCCCUUGUAACUCUGCAACCAUUUUGGACCCCAACCAAUCCUUGUUAACAAGCAGCCUUAUUUCUUGCUUGCUCCAAUUAUAAUUCCUGACAGACAACUAUGUAACUCACUAUGGCCUUGCAGUUUUUGCCUUCCAUUUUAACCUUUCUCCAUUUUGUAGUAUAGUAGAAUACAAUUCACAUGCUCCUUGACUCUGUGUGUCCUGGACUAAAUACAUUUUGGGGGGUGGGGGAUGGCUUGCGGGAUCUUGGUUCCCUGACCAGGGAUUGAACCCCCACCCUUGGCAGUGAAAGGGCAGAGUCCUAAACACUGGACUGCCAGGGAAUUCCCUCCUGGACUACAUUCUUAACAAACACCAAAUAAAUGCCUUUUUAUUUCAA